CUUCCUCCUUCUUCCUCCUUCUCCUUCUCCUUCUUCUUCUCCUUCUCCUUCUUCUUCUUCUCCUCCUCSUCCUCCUCCUCCUUAUUUUACUUCUUCUUCUCUAUCUCUUCUUCUACAUAGCUUAGACUUAUCCAAGAAAGGCUAAAUUGGCUAAUUAUCCUACGAAAUGACAUAAUUAACUUAGUUAGCUCCAAAAUGGCCUAUUUAAUAAAAAAUGACCUAUACUUAGCUAAUUAUCC
rnacentral:lncRNA from 1 species